UGGCCAAAAAGUUCGUUUGGGUUUUUCUGCAGGAUGUUAGGAACAACCUGAAUGAACGUUUUGGCCAA
rnacentral:miRNA from 1 species